GUUCCAUCUCAGCCGCCCUCUGCCUCUUGGGUUUGCGUGGUUUUUCUGCCUCAGCCUCCUGAGUAGCUAAGGGAGGUGUCUUGAGAUUAUCAUCCGCUGAGGGUGGAAGCGGCCCCCGCAGACGCUCCCCGCAGACGCUCGGCAGGUGUCUUGAUAUUAUCAUCUGCUGAGGGUGGAGCUGAGGGUGGAAAGGGAGUGAGCUGACGCUCGGAAGGUGUCUUGAGAUUAUCAUCUGCUGAGGGUGGAAGCGGCCCCCGCAGACGCUCGGCAGGUGUCUUGAUAUUAUCAUCUGCUGAGGGUGGAGCUGAGGGUGGAAGGGGAGUGAGCUGACGCUCGGAAGGUGUCUUGAGAUUAUCAUCCGCUGAGGGUGGAAGCGGCCCCCGCAGACGCUCGGCAGGUGUCUUGAUAUUAUCAUCUGCUGAGGGUGGAAGGGCAGUGAGCUGACGCUCGGAAGGUGUCUUGAGAUUAUCAUCCGCUGAGGGUGGAAGGGGAGUGAGCAGACACUCAGGAGGUGUCUUGAGAUUAUCAUCCGCUGAGGGUGGAAGGGGAGUGAGCACACACUCGGGAGGUGUCUUGAGAUUAUCAUCCGCUGAGGGUGGAAGGGGAGUGAGCAGACACUCGGGAGGUGUCUUGAGGCUCAGGGAGUUAUCAGUUAUAGAAUGUUGUUGAGUUGGAGGAGGUGGCUGGUGGCCCAUCCUGU
rnacentral:lncRNA from 1 species